AGGUGUGAGAAUAUCCGUAAAAGACUGGUUCCUAAACGAAGUAGCCUUAAAGCUUAGAGAGGUUCUUAAGAGUUUCCUUGAUACUCUAAGGUUUUGCCAUAACCUUUAGGCGAGUGAAUUCCGGCAGUUGGUCGGGACUGGACUAACCCUUGUUUGGGUGAACCAGUAUAAAUCUCUUGUGUUGUUCUCUGUUAAUUAUAGUUUUAUCUCUUAUCUAAAAACAACACUUAAUUAAAAAGGAUCCCUCUUCCAGUUAUCUGGUCAAAUACAGAAGUUGACUACUUUACGCAGAUCCCUCAUCCAGUUAUCUGAUCAACCAUCUGAGGUUAUAUUCAUUAUUUUAAAUCCUUAUAUUUGUUCAAGUAUUACUUAUCAUAUAUAUCCAGUUAUCUGAUCAUUUACUUGCUUAUCAAUAUAUCCAGUUAUCUGGUCAUUUACUCUACAAUACAAUUUGUGUUUACAAUAUAACUUAGUAUUCAUAUACUAUAAUUGUGUGUAAAACACUAUCCAACAAGUUGACUCAGUAUUCAUAUACUGUGGUAAGCUUCGAAGAGUAAUAAUUACAUUAUUAUAUCAAUCAAAGUUAUAAUAUCUUUAUAUCAUUAUUGUUCAACCAUUUGUUUAUUAAGCAUUUACAGGUAAUUCCGCAAUCAACCUGUAUAAAUCGAAAAGAGACUAUUAUCCCCCCUUAUAGCCUCGGAUCUCGAUCCAACAAGUGGUAUCAGAGCCAAGUUCCGUUGAAGUCAGACUAACAUCUUACAACAACAACUAUGACUUCAAAUGGUGAAAACAGUACUGGUCUUGCAUCGAACAAACCUCCUAGGUUCGAUGGAGUAAAGUAUGACUUCUGGAAAAACAAGAUGAAGUUAUACUUAAAGUCAAUCAACAAUGGAGUCUAGAAAAUCAUAUUGGAAGAUUAUGAGAUUCCAACAAGCAAAGAAGAGACUUGGGGAGCAAUGAAUAUUCUCAAGGAAAACAACAACUCAAGAGCAUUGAAUGCACUAUAUGGUGCCCUCAAUGAAUCUGAGUAUAGCAGAAUUCGAUGCUUGGAUACAGCUCACAAGGUAUGGAAAGCUUUGGAGGACCUACAUGAAGGAACCUCCCACGUCAAGGAAAACAAGCUACUAAAUGCCACUUCUCAAUUCGAAAGAUUCUCUAUGAGGGAAGAUGAGACUAUCGCGGAAAUGAAUAUUCGACUAUCAGAAAUAGUCAACGAUCUGGCUGGACUAGGAGAUCCAGUAACUGAGAAAAAGCAAGUGAGCAAGAUUCUAAGGAGCCUUCCAAACAAAUACUACUCAAAAAGGAAUGCUAUCCAAGAAUCUUAUGAUCUGAAUAAACUCACAGUGGUAGAACUUUGCGGAAAUCUGAUGGCCUAUGAAGAAGAAAGAUUUAUCUCUAGAGCAAAAGAAGAGAAAAAGGACAUUGAUCUCAAAAGUCAAUCCGAUAACGAAGCAUCUGAUGAUGACUUGGCAAUGAUCACAAAUCAUUUAAAGAGAUAUCUCAUAAAAAGGAAAGAAAAGAGAAAUUCAAAGUUAGACUAUCAGAAUUCCGACAGAAAAGUGAGUAAAAACCACAAAGACUCAAAGGAGCCCAUCUGCUAUUUGUGCGACAAAUCUGGACACAUCAGACCUGAAUGUCCUCUGCUAAAGAAAGAAAAAGCACAUCAAGUACACUAGUCAGAUUCUGAGUCAGAUCAAGAAGACUGCCUUAUGGCUCAUGAGAACGACUCUGAGGUAAACUUUACAAAUACUAGAUUUAAUUCAUUAGAAGAAGCAUAUCUAGAAUUAAUGAAUAAAUAUAAAGCUGAAAAAAAAUUAAGUAAAUCAUUAAGACUAGAAUGCAUGAAUAGAUCACAUAUUGAUCAUUCAAUAGAAUUAGAAGAAUCACAAAAAGAAUGCAUGUUAUUAAAAGAAGAAAAUCAUAAACUCUCAAGUAAAAUAAAAAAGGGAGAUGAAAAAAUUAAAAUACUUAAGAGUCAAAAUUUUGAAUUACUCGAUAUUCUAGAAUCUGAAGAAAAUCAACCUAAGGAAAUAAAUGAUGAUAGGGUUGAAUUGUUAGAAUUAAAAAUAGAUAAUUUUGAGAAAAUCGUUAGAAAUAAAGAAAAAGAAACAAUCAUGCUUAAAACUGAAAUAGAAUUUAAGGAUAAACUCAUACUUGAGCAUGAAGAAACUUUACAAAAAUUAUCUGAAAAACAUAACAGCAUGCAAUUACAAACUGAAAGAAUAAAUGAGAAAAAUAAUGUUCUUCAAAAAUUCUUAAAUAGUUCAUCCAAGUUAAAUAACAUGUUGCAAGGUUCAAACUUGGGUCAAAAGAAAUUUGGCUUAGGGUUUGAGUCAGAUGCACCUAUUAACAAAACCUUAAAUGCCAUAACUUAUAAUGAUCAUUUUGUAAGGGAAUCUAGUUAUACAAAACCUUUACAUGCUUCAAUGUAUAAUGAUUAUUCUAGCUAUACAAAACUCAUUCAUCUUAAGAAAAAGAAAAAUCAUUCUAAGAUGAAUCAUCCAAAACAAAGAUGGAUGACUAAAGAUGAGUUAAGAAGUUAUAAGCAGAUUAAGUAUGUUAAUUCAUCCGGACCCAACUCAGUAUAGGUACCAAAGGAUUUUUCAACUUUUUCAGGAAAAGCAUGUGUCAAAAUGGAUGUUCGACAGCGGAUGCACAAGACACAUGACUGGGGAAUCAAGUCUACUAACAGACUUGGUAGACUUACCUACUAGUAAAAAGGUCAAGUUCGCCGAUAACAACGAAGGUACAAUAGCAGGUAGGGGGUAAUGUAGGAAAUACCGAAAAAUCAUUCUUAAGAAAUGUGUACUUAGUAAUUGGUCUAAAACACAACCUGAUUAGCAUAAGUCAAUUAUGUGAUAUUGGUUGUGUAGUAAAAUUUGAAAAAUAUAAUUGUUUUAUCACUAACUCUGAGGGAGUUAUUAUUGCCAGAGGAUAUAGAAAAAACAAUGCUUAUUCUAUAAAUUUUGAUAAGUCUAAUCCAACUCGUGACUUCUGCAUGCAUGCUGCAAGCGAUGAGAAAGUUUUAUGGCAUAGACGAUUAGGUCACACCAGCUACUCAAAACUAUCUAAAUUAUCUAAAGAAGAAUUAGUAACUGGGUUGCCUAAAAUAGCUUAUGAGAAAAGUAAUAUCUGUGAUAUUUGUCAAAAAGGAAAGCAACACAAAAGCCCGUUUAAAUCCCUCACAGAAAUAACCACUUCUAGACCCUUAGAGCUUCUUCACAUGGACUUAUUUGGGCCAACCCAAACCCAAAGUCUUGGAGGAAAAAGGUUCACCUAUGUAAUCAUUGAUGAUUAUUCUCGCUAUACAUGGGUGUUCUUUCUAAGAAACAAAAGUGAAACCUUUGGUGAAUUCUCUAAAUUUUGUACCCUAGUACAGAAUGAAAAAGGUUCAUCUAUCAUAAAAAUCAGAAGUGGUCGUAGAGGAGAAUUUGAAAACUCUGACUUUAAAGAGUACUGUAUAUCCAAUGGGAUAAAGCAUGAAUUUGCUUUUCCUCAAGCUCCACCUCAAAAUGGAAUAGUAGAAAGAAAAAAUCUUACUCUUCAAGAAAUGAGUAGGUCUAUGUUACAAGAACAUGACUCCCCUCAAUAUCUAUGGGCAGAAGCUAUAAGCACUGCAUGUUACACUCUCAAUAAGGUAAUCAUUAGAAAAACCUUAAACAAAACUCCCUAUGAACUUUGGAAUAACAGAAAACCCAAAGUUUCAUUCUUUAAAGUAUUUGAGAGUAAAUGCUAUGUUCUCACAACAAGGGGAAACCAAGAUAAAUUAGCACAAAAAUCUGAUGAAGGAAUCUUGGUUGGAUACUCAAAAAGGAGCAAGGCAUAUAGAGUCCUUCUCAAAGAAAGACAAACAUUGAUAGAAUCCCUACACGUUGACUUUGAUGAGUCCAUCUCUGUUCCAAACACAGAAGAAGGAGGAAUUGAAGUCACUCAACAAGUACCAUCUGACACUCCUAUAGAAAAAGAUGAUCAAGAAACAAUCAUCUCUGAACUUCUAUCAAAUAGGAAUUUUAGAAACCCAUACUCUGUAGAACAAAUUAUUGGAGAUCAACACACUGGCGUACAGACAAGAUCAUCUACGUAACUAUGUCCUAGAUUGCUUUGUAUCUCAAAUAAAGCUUAAGUAGAUCUAUGUGCAUAUAUAUAUGAACUUAAUAUAAUCUAUCAAAUAUUUAUAUGCGUACUUUUACUAUGAUUAUUCAUAUACUAAGUUCUGUACACACAUAGCUAAAUGCAUGCCUAUCAUAUAUGACAAUCACGUUAAUGCAUUUCAUGCUACUAAAAGUUCCAUGAUCUAAAACAACUAUCUGAUAAAUGCAUGCUUUACAUGCUUGAUUCAUGCAUACAGUCGUCAACUUAUUUAUGAAACUAAUCCUAUACAUGCCUGUUUUACGUAUUACAAAACAUCUGCAUGCUUAAAAUCAUUUGAUAAAUACAUAUAGUAUGCAUGCAAAGUAAAAUGAGUCUACCUACAUAUGAGAUGUACAAUACAUGCAUGAAAACUUCAAAACAACUCAUUACAUGUCACGAUUAUGCAUGCAAGAUUAACACCUGAUUAUAAAAAUAUAAUACAAUCUAUGCAUGAAUAUUCAAAGGAUCGGUGACUCAUGCCAUGUUGCUUGUAUUAUAAAUCUUAUACAUAUACAAAGAUAAGAUUCUCCAACAAACUUUAUCCAAGAAAAACACUAUUCAAGAUAAGAUCAAAGACAAAGCUUGGAUUUAUGUGAGAAAUCAAGGAGCCAUCCAUUGAAGAUCCAAGGGUGGACAUUGAGUGGCCAAGGCUAUAAAUAGAAGGGUAAACCCCUCAUUUUCACUUACCACACUACAAGCAAACUCAAGAGCUUUCACUCCACAUUUGCCCACACGUUUUUGCCUCCAAACUUUCAAGUGCCCAAGUGUCCUAGCUUUCCAAAGCUUCAAAAGCUCUCCAACUUCUUCUUCUAAUCUUCUUGUUCAUCUUUACAAGUAAGAAGUGUUGUUUGUUUUAAUAUUCCACUCCUCUAAUCACCUCUUGUGUGUGUCCACUUUGGUUGAGAGGGUUGUCUCAAUAGUACCAAAGUGUGAAAGAAGGUUUUUGAGCUCAACCAUAAAGCUCUAGUUUGGUUUUAUAGAGUUUCCGGGAAAACUCUUAAGUCGAGUCUACCUUGAAAGAUUUCAGAGGUUUUUAAGAGUUCCUUGAUACUCUAAGGUACUAACUUACCCGCAAAAGUUAGAGGUUCUUAAGAGUGCCCUUGAUACUCUAAGGUGUGAGUCUACCCGUAAAAGACUGGUUCCUAAACAAAGUAGUCUUAAAGCUUAAAGAGGUUUUUAAGAGUUCCUUGAUACUCUAAGGUACUAACUUACCCGCAAAAGUUAGAGGUUCUUAAGAGUGCCCUUGAUACUCUAAGGUGUGAGAAUACCCGUAAAAGACUGGUUCCUAAGCGAAGUAGCCUUAAAGUUUAAAGAGGUUCUUAAGAGUUUCCUUGAUACUCUAAGGUUUUGUCAUAACCUUUAGGCGAGUGAAUUCCAGCAGUUGGUCGAGACUGGACUAGCCAUUGUUUGGGUGAACCAGUAUAAAUCUCUUGUGUUGUUCGUUGUUCUCUGUUAAUUAUAGUUUUAUCUCUUAUCUAAAAACAACACUUAAUUAAAAAGGAUCCCUCUUCCAGUUAUCUGCUCAAGUACAGAGGUUGACUACUUUACGCAGAUCCCUCAUCCAGUUAUCUGGUCAACCAUCUGAAGUUAUAUUCAUUGUUUUAAAUCCUUAUAUUUGUUCAAGUAUUACUUAUCAUAUAUAUCCAAUUAUCUGGUCAUUUAUUUGUUUAUCAAUAUAUCUAGUUAUCUGGUCAUUUACUCUAUAAUAUAAUUUGUGUUUACAAUAUAACUUAGUAUUCAUAUACUAUAGUUGUGUGUAAAAAACUAUCAAGCAAGUUGACUCAGUAUUCAUAUACUGUGGUAAGCUUCGAAGAGUAAUAAUUACAUUAUUAUAUCAAUCAAAGUUAUAAUAUCUUUAUAUCAUUAUUGUUCAACCAUUUGUUUAUUAAGCAUUUACAGGUAAUUCCGCAAUCAACCUGUAUAAAUCGAAAAGAGACUAUUAUCCCCC
rnacentral:lncRNA from 1 species